rnacentral:miRNA from 1 species
CCUCUGAGAGGGCAGCCAAACAGCUUGGGGAGACGCCGGGACGGGAGGGAGGGAGGGAGAGCGGCUGUGAAG